UCGUCACCUCCCACCACCACUCCCGCACUGGUUUUUGGGCGUCCCACAAAAAUUCCCCCCGUGUGCUCGAUGUAUUCCUCCUCCGCCGCCAUCUGCCGCCUCCGCUAAGAUCUGAGGCCCCCCACUUGUGGGCCGCCGCCGCCGCAGAACCCCGGGAAGGGCAGGGCAGGGCGCCGUCUUCCUCCGCCGCCGCCAUCUGGUCCCCCUCCGCUCCCAUCUGCCGCCGCUGCUGAUCCUAAGAGACGUCGCCGCCGUCGCGGAUCGGCGGGACGCCGCCGCCGCCGUCUCCUCGGAUCACCAGGACGCCGCCGUGAGGCCCGACCCUGAAAGGGGGGGGGGGGGGGGGCAGGGGGGCGGCCGCCCCGGGCCCCCGAGGCCGAGGGGGACCCCCAGGACGUCGUCCUCUGUACCGCGCCACGCUGAAAAUUAGGUCGCGAUUAAUCAGGGCCUAUUCCAUCCUCGAUUCAUCCUUCCGAUCUGACUAUCCACGAUGCCACCGCCGGUCCGCUCUUCCUCGUACUUCUUUGAGUUCUUUCGCCUUUCCAUCCGCCGCGGGCAUCAAGAUUAUGAACUUGCGAUGGUCUUGUUGUCAUCCGUGGAGACAGGUUGCCUCUCAUGGCAAAGCUUCUGCCUGUAGUCGCUGCUGCUGCUGCUGUGUGGUUGAAGUCCAUGCUCUUGGUGGCUACCCCCCUAACGGAAGGGGCCAUGUUUUCGUUUCGCCCCGGGCCCCCAAAAUCUCAGGACCGGCCCUGCCGCCGUCGCAGAUCACCAGGACACCGCAGUCGCCUCGGAUCCCCACACGCCGCCAACAUGGCGGUGACAACUGAUGAGCACGCUCCGUCUCCAGGAAAUGUAUUUUUGAUCUCAGCUUCUAAUGAUGAAAAGAAGUAGUCAAGAAUAAAAUUCGAAAUAAAGCAACACGGCUGAAAUUCCAAUAUAUCUAUAAAUUACAACGGUUAUUUCCGCCUGGUAUUCGAUCGAGCAUGGACGGAAAUUGCGAGGAUGUGUCUGGCCAUUUUGUUUUUUAUUUUAUGCUCUGAUGGAACGGUAAAAGACUGGUUCAUCCGGUUUGCGUGACUAUAGGAGUACCCCCGAUUUUCCGGAGUUCUUGCAGCCAACCAGAUCCGCGCCGCCGCCUCUGCUCCCGCCCCCAUCACCUCCUCGGCCUCUCGGUCCUGGCCGGCCGCGCCCCCUCUGCACGACGCCUCGCCGGACACCGAUCUCGCUCCGCAGGACUCAUCUCCGCCGGUCUCGUCAUCCUCUCCAUCACCGCAGUCGUCCACGUCGAAGGCACGGACAUCGGAGGCAGUGAGGCGACGGCUCGCGGCGAGGGAAGCACCUCGGAUCCACUCGAUCCCGCACCUCCACCGACCGCAGCCACCUUCGUUCAAUCCACCCCUCCACGGUCCCCGCAAGAUCCCACGUCUUCACCGUCCGCCACUGCCCGACCCCUUACUCCUUCCGGCAAUGCACAUAGCUACAUGUCCUCCUUACUGCUUCUGGCUACCUCACAAUUUUAAUCUGGUCCAUGGAACAUGAAAAACUGAUUUCCGUUCAAUGGUGGCAGAGAGAUAUUAACUCAGGAGCUGCUGGACAUUUCCACCGUAAUGGAGCGUAUCAGCGGAGGUGGACGACAGUAAUAGGGGAACUGGAACAAGCGCCGGAAGCAGCUGUGAACAUAGAUGCACAGUUCUGCGAGGAAGAAACCAGGGUGUACAGAGGAAGGGCGAUCUCACCCCGGGUCUCCAAGCUAUUGACUGGGAAGAUGAACCCCAGGCAGCCGGGCUAGAUUGGUUUGCACAUAACCCGUAAAACUUACCGAUUUUAAUUCGCCUGGUACAGGUCCUUAAUGAUUCAGUACGUUAUAUCGGUAUUGAGUGUACUAGCAGUCUACAGAUAGAUUUGCGUCUGUAUGCUGAGCUUGUUCUGAGGAUAAUAUUUUUUUGAUUGAAUCCAAUGCAAGGUAACUAGUAGAAAUACAGUUGUACUACUAAUGACAGUCUCGCUUUUGGGAAGUUUUUUGAUGGAUAUUUAGUUGAGGCAGCUAUUUCUACCGUGGAAUAACUGUAAUUUAGCUAUGUGACACUGAUGAAUUAUAUAAAGUUCAGAAAUGCAUGUAUGUCGAUUUAAUUUAAUGGACAUGAUCUUUUAGGUUGAUUUCAGCUGAGCAAUAGGAAACAUGGGUGCAUAGUAAGGAUUGCAUCGGCGCACCAUGCCCUUCUCGGGCGACAUCUCUUGAGAAAGCGAUAAGGGCAUUCGCUAACGAUCCAAUACAUAAUGUGAUUGUACCAGUGCUGGGGACAAGUUCUGACUCUUUAUGAGAGAGGCGUGUGGUUUUUACAAUCUAAUCACUUGGGAGAAAGGUUUUGGGAUCAGAUAUUGGAAAUGCAGGUCAAAUGUUGAGAGGACAAAAUGUAAUUAGGAAAUAGUGUGUCCAUAUGUGGGUAAAGCAGGUGCGUAAAACACACGAUCUUGCCGGUACCCUGCUCUAAUAAAUUGCUUAGAUCAGAGCACAGGGGCUAAGAAGUACAUGAGGCUGCAAUUUGACAGUGAGUCUGAGGAGAACUAUGUCGAGGAGAUGACAAGAAAUGGGAGUCCGCUAAUGAGAGCUAACCUGGCCACUGAAUGGCAUGCGAUCAAGACACACACAAGCGCUAUGUUUGAUGAAAAUUAGAUCUUGUAUGAGUGUGGACUGUGGAGCAUACCAAAGUUGAAGAGAUUGAGAAACACAAGUCAUGUCCUGGAGGUACUGGACUUCAUGCGUGUGAAGCGAUGCUCACAACAUAGGAACCAAUUGCAUAUAAUCUGUUCUCCUACAUGCACUUCAGAAUGUGCAUAGAGCUUCUUCGGCUUGGGGACACAAAUUUUGAUGCGUACGAUUGUCUGGUUUAUUUGUUGAAGGCAAAUUUGGUGGACAUGAAACCUUUUGCUGAGGUGAGAGAUGGGCUUAGUUUGGAAGACCGGCUUGCUGAAAAUGGAGUAGUUGUCAAGCUGUUGAAAAUACAUACUAUGUGUAGAUCGCAAAACUCAAGAGCAUCCAGCAAAUGCUGGUAGUGGUGACAAUGUUUCAGUAAUAUACUAGGAAACAGGUUAGCAUAACUAUCAGUGCCAGGCUACCAGCUACAAGGAAAGAGAAUGACUGGCCAAUGACCAGCAGGGAGAAAGCCCCUUAGGAAGGAUUGAGUAAGAGGACCAAUUUCUGCAGCAUUUUCUGCCGCCAUGGUCACAAAAGGACUACAUGGACAGACAUAGGUGAUGCUCCGAAACAUCUUGCAAACUGGGCAGGUGCAAUAGCUAUGGCGUCGAGGGACAGAAAAGGAACAAUUUUACCAAGCCCAUAGAAUUUAGAUUGCCAAUGGAAACUAAAAUGAGUGCAAAUUAUGAGACCUUUUUUGGUUAGUAGUUAGUGUUACUUUCUCAAUACUCGAGUCAAGAUUCUUCCUAAUGGUCACCAUGGGAUCGACAAAACUCUUUAGGUGGCGGAGAAGUUUGAUAUGAGCCUCUAAGGUUGACGAUUCUGAAGUUAUUGGGUUUUUGCUUCCAACUGAAAUGAUUCCUUUAUAUCUGAGUACUAUGGAGAUGGGCUGUGAACUUACCAGAACAUUAUGAACUCAACUCCUUCUUUGAAUUUAAUUCUUCUAUGAUGCUUUCCAAAGCCGACGAUGACCACGCUGUGGACCCACAUGGCAGAGGAAGGGGAUGCCCGAGACUGAGAUGAUGGCGGCGGUCGCGAUGCAUAGCUGCAGGAGUGGACAACAAAGACAAAUACUCCCUUGGAUUCGUCGUGAUUCUGGAAUGGGAGGCAGGUCGCUGCUGCUACCGCCCAUGAAGCUGACGAUGAUCAGUGGCCGUCAUGCAGCGGCGAGGUGGCGGUUGUGGAGGGGAGGGGAGACGCGCGGGCAAAAACCAACACGACGAAGGAAGGGGAUGCCUCAGGUGGCGAUGGUCAUGACGGUCACUAUAUUGUGAUAUGUUAUUUGCAUAUAAAUGAUUCAGGGGACCCUGAUUGUUCGAAGAUGGGGCCCAUCUCUUUCUAAACUGCAAAGAAGUGAAGGAGCAAUGGUAUGCCUUGCUGCUGGAGGAAAUCCGGAUCAGAGUGUAAUUUAGCACAUGACGUCAUGAGAAAAAUUCUGAGGUCGCGGAGAAGGAUAAGUUGCUCACUAUUUGAGUGUGGGCCGAGAAAUUUUUGAAACAGACUCGAUACUCAAGCAAGCUGUGAGCUUUACUGCUGGGUAUUUUCUUAUGUGAUAUCAAGUACCCACUACUAUAAGCGUACUUUAUUCAUUGAUUGAGGCUAGAGUGAUUCAUGCUCCAAGGGGAUGUAACCAACCAUCUAAUGUGCUGGCAGCUUUGGGUGCAGGAUUAGACAAUGGUGAUCAUGUUUAAUGGUUCUCAGACUACAUUGAGGUUGUAGCCCAUGUUGUAAUCGGCGAUUUAGCCGUAUACUCCUUUCGUUCCUAAAUAUAAAUCUUUUUAGAGGUU